GGCAGCUAGGUUACGUGGCAAACCGCUGGGCCCGCAAAUCCCAGCAAGCAGGGUUCAAGUCCCUGCGCUGCCUCCA
rnacentral:tRNA from 2 species